GAUGAACGCUGACAGAAUGCUUAACACAUGCAAGUCGAUGGGGAAGUGGUGCUUGCACCAUGGCAACCAUGGCGGACGGGUGAGUAACGCGUAAGGGACUUACCUGCAGGACUGGGAUAACAGGGGGAAACUCCUGACAAGACCGGAUAAUGUCAUGGAGCUGCAAGGCUUUAUGAUGAAAGGAGACGCCUGCGGAGAGCCUUGCGUCCUAUUAGCUAGUUGGUGAGGUAAUGGCUCACCAAGGCGAAGAUAGGUAGCCGGCCUGAGAGGGUGGACGGCCACAAGGGGACUGAGAUACGGCCCUUACUCCUACGGGAGGCAGCAGUGGGGAAUAUUGGACAAUGGGGGCAACCCUGAUCCAGCAAUUCUGUGUGCACGAAGAAGGUUUUCGGAUUGUAAAGUGCUUUCAGCAGGGAAGAAGUAAGUGACGGUACCUGCAGAAGAAGCGACGGCUAAAUACGUG
rnacentral:rRNA from 1 species